AUGGGGAUUGCAGCAUGAAAAGCCAAGCUUAAUGAUUGCUAAGAUAAUGUUGACUUCAAACAGGCCUGUUUUGUCCCACAUGCAUGGGAGUAAAUGUGCAUAAGGAUGGGCUGCUAGAAGACAGAGGAAGCCACGCCCAGGCCCACCAACUGAUUUCUAGAUACUUGCUGCCGUGUUCCAGAUUUGCCUUUCACCUUUCCCAUCUCUGCCUGUGUGCCCCUAGCCUAAGAUCAUCACCUUUACACUCAGCUCUUCUU